AAAAGACUCGCGGGAGAGAGUGCAGACUCGCACCGCCGAAGGCGCAACCGCCCCGGAAACGCUCAGGCAAAAUGGACCGCUCGUCACAU
rnacentral:ncRNA from 2 species